CCUGCGGAGUUGGGGCCCUGCCACCUGCCGCCCGGGCUGUGCUCGGGGCUGCUCCCAGGUGAGGCCUGGGGGGGAGCCCCCCCGCAUGGAGAGCCCGAGUGAGGCAGAUGGCAGGCUCUCCAGACGAAGCCGCUGUGUCUCUUAGGAGCAAGGCCACUUCUGCCCUAUUCUGAAAAUGAGCAAGAGAGAGAACCUUGAAGCAGGACUUGGGCUCACCCGUUGGGGAGGCUGGAACACACGAGCAUAACCAAGGUUGGACGCUUAGCCGCCUGAGCCCGGUGCGCCUAUGUCAGCGCGCAUUCAUGUCAAAGGAAGGGGAUCCUUUCUGGGGGAUACGAGCCAUAGUGUCGUCGUUUCACGUGUCCCGUUCCCUCCGCGGCGGGCAGAACCCCUCCGAACUGGGAUGGUCGGAAGCCGUGAUCCACAGUUCUCUCUGCUAUCCUGCGGGCGGAGGGGGCUCCGCUGGAGCCCUCCUGCAGUGGCAGCCCGACUGGGGCCACGCGGGAGCCACGCAAAGUUCGGCUGCUGAAGACAGCCAUCAGCCCCAGGCCGGUCCCCGGUCCACGCGACCCCUGCGGGAUUUGGGCAGCUGCACGACGACGGACACAUGUUCUGAGAGGCCCGUUCACAAGUCUUCGUGUGGACCCGCUGGGAAGUGCCAGAACCAAACUUGUGCAGCUUUCCGCUGGUCGGGCGGAGACGAGCCAGUCUAGUUCAAGGGCAGGGACUUAGACUCCACCUCUCUCAAUGGGAAGAAGAUUGAAGAUUGCGUGGCCGUCUAAUCUAGCCACCAUGAGCCACAUUCCACUCCGCUAAACACUGCCUCCCGCCAUCCCCAAAAGUCUCAUCCUAGUUUGGCUUCGGAUCAGGGCACAGGUGAGAGGGAGGCUGGACUGUGGCUUCUGUUAAUCUGAAACCUGGGGCUCCAGACCCGCAAGACUUGUCCCACAGUGCCACAAGAACCAUUCCAUCCCACCCCCUUGACCUUCACGAUCCAGGAGCGUGACAUAAAAUGGUGUUUGCUUCACACCAAGUUCUGGGUAAUUUCCUACAGCGCCAUUUGCACCUGGAAUACCCCCCAGGAAAAGUGACGACAGUCCUAAACAUAAUUAAAGAUCCAAACAGUAUUUUCCUUGA